rnacentral:rRNA from 1 species
CCUACGGGAGGCUGCAGUAGGGAAUCUUCGGCAAUGGGGGGAACCCUGACCGAGCAACGCCGCGUGAACGAAGAAGUUAUUCGUAAUGUAAAGUUCUUUUAACAGGGAAGAAAGAGAAAUUUGACGGUACCUGAAGAAUAAGCUCCGGCUAACUACGUGCCAGCAGCCGCGGUAAUACGUAGGGAGCGAGCGUUAUCCGGAAUUAUUGGGCGAAAAGGGUGCGUAGAUGGCAUAGUAAGUCUUUUGUAAAAAUGCUGGGCUCAACCCAGUAGGGCAAAAGAUACUGCAAAGCUAGAGGAUGACAGAGGCAAGUGGAACUACAUGUGUAGCGGUAAAAUGCGUAAAUAUAUGGAAGAACACCAGUGGCGAAGGCGGCUUGCUGGGUCGAUACUGACAUUGAGGCACGAAAGCGUGGGGAGCAAACAGGAUUAGAUACCCUGGUAGUC